GGCAAUCUGACUUGAUGAUGCUGAAGUUUUUUAUGGUAAUGCACAAAUGGUUGGUAAGUACCUGAAAAUUUCAAGUUAUUUUAAUACUGUUUCCAUUUUCACUCAUCAGAAUUUUUUACGUAUUUUAUGCAAUCGUACUUGUCAAAUGAAGUUUUCAUUUUAUGAUGAUCUUGAUGCCAACUACAUUUCCAACUCUUUUAAGUUUUUGAACUCUUGCGAGUGAAAGUCAAUGAGAAGAAGUUUAUGACCUUUUCCAACGAUCAAUUCAAUUUGCUUCUAAGGAUAUAACAUUAGUCUUAACUUAUUUCAAGUAGCAGAUAUGAUUCUAUCUUUCUUCUGUUGUUUUUUCGGAGGCCAAGGUUGCUCACAUUCCUUGAGUUGACAUAGAAGGAAGCAUAAGGGAAGCUCUGAGACAAUCUACAUCAAAAUGUUCACCCACUCUUUCACAGUUUGGAAUGUACUACACUGCCUUCAAAAUGGACUUUUCGAAUCAAAAGGCAGAAAGGUAAUUAUACAGGGUUCAAAAGUCGGUUAAAAGUUAGUUUAAAAGCUUC
rnacentral:lncRNA from 1 species